AUUGAACGCUGGCGGCGUGCCUAACACAUGCAAGUCGAGCGGUAACAGGUGUAGCAAUACAUGCUGACGAGCGGCGGACGGGUGAGUAACGCUUGGGAAUCUGCCUGAUAGUGGGGGACAACCCGGGGAAACUCGGGCUAAUACCGCAUACGCACUACGGUGGAAAGCCGGGGACCGCAAGGCCUGGCGCUAACAGAUGAGCCCAAGUCGGAUUAGCUAGUUGGUAGGGUAACGGCCUACCAAGGCGACGAUCCGUAACUGGUCUGAGAGGACGACCAGUCACACCGGAACUGAGACACGGUCCGGACUCCUACGGGAGGCAGCAGUGGGGAAUAUUGGACAAUGGGCGAAAGCCUGAUCCAGCGACGCCGCGUGGGUGAAGAAGGCCUGCGGGUUGUAAAGCCCUUUCGGUGGGGAAGAAAAGCCUCGAGCUAAUACCUCGGGGUCUUGACGUAACCCAUAGAAGAAGCACCGGCUAACUCUGUGCCAGCCGCCGCAGUAAAAC
rnacentral:rRNA from 1 species